CACGCGCCCCUAAAUUUUGCCACCUUCUUAAAUGGCUAAAAAUCACAAAGUACUCCACCUUUCUCUUUAAGAACUUUUUGACCCCGGAAGUAAAAGUUUAAGUGAGGGAGUCACGGGGUACAGCUGUUUCCGUUUCCGUACAGACGCCUGGAAGCAAACAUCAUGGCGAAGACCGGGGAUAACAGCGGCGGCCGAGGAAAAAAAGGCCUGAAACGGAAGGCGGCCGCCGAAGAACCCCAGGAGGCUGCAGUCGCUGAGGAUGGAGCGACCGAAAGCGGGGUCCAACCCCCGAAAACGACCGCCUUCCCCCCAGGCUUCAGCAUUUCGGAAAUUAAGAACAAACAACGGCGACAUUUAAUGUUCACGCGGUGGAAACAGCAGCAACGUAAGGAAAAGUUGGCAAUUAAGAAAAAACUUAAGAAAGAGAGAGAAGCUCUUGGUGAUAAGGCUCCACCAAAGCCUGUACCAAAGACCAUUGACAACCAGAGAGUAUAUGAUGAAACUGUAGUAGACCCUAAUGAUGAAGAGGUUGCUUAUGACGAAGCUACAGAUGAAUUUGCUUCUUACUUCAACAGACAAACUUCUCCCAAGAUUCUCAUCACAACAUCAGAUAGACCUCAUGGGAGAACAGUACGACUCUGUGAACAGCUCUCCACAGUUAUACCAAACUCACAUGUUUAUUACAGAAGAGGACUGGCUCUGAAAAAAAUUAUUCCACAGUGCAUUUCAAGAGAUUUCACAGAUCUGAUUGUUAUUAAUGAAGAUCGUAAAACACCAAAUGGAUUAAUUCUAAGUCACUUGCCAAACGGCCCAACUGCUCAUUUUAAAAUGAGCAGUGUUCGUUUGCGUAAAGAAAUUAAGAGAAGAGGGAAGGACCCUACAGAACACAUACCUGAAAUAAUUUUGAAUAACUUUACAACGAGGCUGGGUCAUUCAGUUGGACGUAUGUUUGCAUCUCUUUUUCCCCACAAUCCACAGUUUAUUGGAAGGCAGGUUGCCACAUUCCACAAUCAGCGGGACUAUAUCUUCUUCAGAUUUCAUAGGUGAGGAAGGUACAUAUUCAAGAGUGAAAAGAAAGUGGGAAUUCAAGAACUUGGACCACGUUUUACCUUAAAAUUAAGAUCUCUUCAGAAAGGAACCUUUGAUUCUAAAUAUGGAGAAUAUGAAUGGGUCCAUAAGCCCCGGGAAAUGGAUACAAGUAGAAGAAAAUUCCAUUUAUGAAAUACUGAAGGAAUAGUAUUGAAUUGUGCUAAACAGACCUAUCUUGAAUUUAUGACAGAAGACCCUUUUCAGAAUGUCAUUUACUGGUUUCAUAAACCUUUUCACGUGUGGACAAAAUACCAAGUGCCAUGAAUUACCAUUCACUGUAGCAAAUACAAAUAAAAGUCAUUUUGGUGAUUUAGAAGUUGCA